CAACUGCAAAAUGAUGUAGCCA
rnacentral:siRNA from 1 species